GGCUACAGCCAGGCCACCCUGAAUGGGUCUGAUCUCGUCUGAUCUCGGAAGCUAAGCAGGGUUGGACCUGGUUAGUACUUGGAUGGGAGAAUGGAUACACGGGCUACACCUU
ensembl:rRNA 5S_rRNA 5S ribosomal RNA